rnacentral:lncRNA from 1 species
UUGCACCACUGCACUCCAGCCUGGGCGAUACAGUGAGACCCAGUCUCAAAAAAAAAAAAAAAAGAGUCUUUUUUGAUGGUGGACAUCUUCCAAUGAGCAUUCACAUGGGACAGAUUUUUUUUUAGUUCUACCGUUGUUCUGAAAGCUCUAUGUAUGUUCCUCUUCCCUAAAAAUCUUUGUCACCAAGCCUCCAGAUUUAUUCCUUCUAAAAUGUUGAAAUUCCAGCUAAUUCCUUAGUUGUUACCCAGGAAACAAUGCAGAUCCUGGUCCGAGGAUGCAGCUCCUUCCAGGCAGCCUGGACUGUGAGGUGUGCUCCAUUGCUCUUCAGGAACCGUCCUUGAGAGGCGUUCCACAGCAGGCCAGACCUGGGGGGAGCAGGUGGGCCAGGCGGAAAGCACAGCACAAUUUGAGAGAUGCUGAGUACUCAUGACUCUGUGUAAGCACCUGAAUUCAGCCCUCAUGGUCUUUUCUGAGCUGUCAGUCAUUUAUCUCUAUUUAGUCAUUUUGCGAAUUGGAGUUAGCUUCCUUCCCUCUACACUCAAAGACGGCAUGUCAACAUUUUAGGCCUCUGGGUGGAAUGAACUCCCAGUUUCCUGGGAGGGAGCUGAUUGGCAUCUAUUCGCCUCUUCCUAGUUUUGUGGGGUUUCCCAGCAUGUGGAGUCAUAGAGAAAGACUGGUCCCACCUUCUAUGUAAUGCCCAAGAGAAUAGAUGACUCUCUGUCCACCCCCACCCUGGCAUCCAGGGCUUCUGGACAAGACCUAGGCUGGCUAAUUGGCUGCUUCCACAUGGGAUCCUGAAUCUGGAGCAAGUGAGGCAAAGCCCAGGGUGCUUAGAAUCCAUUCUCAGUGAGAGCAGCAGGACUGCCCGGGAGGGGAAUAGAGACGGGGACGACCGAGUCCUGCACCAGCAGAGAUGACGUCCGCAGGUGGCGGGGCAGCGCUGUGGCCGUGUCACUCCUCACAAAGCAGGGCUCUUGUGCUCGCAGCCUUCGAUACCGUCUCACUGUCUUGGCUUCUAUUUAUCUUCCAAGCCAAUUUCCAGCCUCCUACACACGUGGGGUUCUUCUGGUAUCAUUCCAGUGAAUUUCAUGUUGUUUUCUGCCCUAAGAAAACAGAGUUGGUACCUCUGCUCGACCAAGAAGCCUGAUUGAUACAGACUGAGAGCUGCAGGCUGUGUUUAUUUGCUUCAUUAACAAGAACAACUUAGGAAUGGCAACUUCCAUUGAUGAGCUUCCUACUUUGUUCUGCGGUUGGAAAACAAACAGUUGUUUCCCUGUUGACGACUGGCCACACUGGAGAGGUGAACAGUUCACUCUCAAGGCCAUACUGACUUGAACACUGGCUGUCUAGAAACAGAGAGGCAGGCAGCGGCAGACAGGAAGAGAGAUGGAGCAGAGUCCUCCAGCGGGAGCUGCACCUCGGAAGCAUCCUUAGAUGCGGCUUGGAGUUGGGAUCCUUCAAUUCCCCUCAGGAGAGUCAGCCAAAAAUAUCAACAGCCACAAUUUAUUGGACGCCUUCAGGAGAAAUGUCAAAGGCCUUUGUCCAAAGAAAAACAUUAACAUCUGCCAUUUUUCUAAAUUGAAUGUGAAAGAUGAUCCUGACAGGCUGAACAAAGAUGCUUGCUCUCUGUUGUGAUGUUUGACAAGGGAAUCUUCCUUCAUUUUCUCCUCUGAUGAGCCUCUCUACCAGAUAAGCAGCAGCAGGAACCAAACGUUUAAGAAAAAUGUAAAGACAUUAUUUUGUCCAUCACUUAACAUUUUUAUGAACAAGUUGGGAGGUAGCCUGCAUGAAUGCCUCUGUGCAAUGGAAUGAAUGGCCGGAGAUCUCACCAUCCCAGGAUGACUUUGGGGAAGGAAGACCCAAACAGCCCACUAUCACAUGCUGUCCUGCCUGCCUCAGGCCUCCUGUCCUUCUCUCCCUUGUGACCUGCAAACUAACCUUGAGGACUCAUGUCAACUGUCACUGCAUUGGAAGCCCUCUGUGAUAGUUAAUAUUGAGUGUCAACUUGAUUGGAUUGAAGGAUGCAAAGUAUUGUUCCUGGGUGUGUCUGUGAGGGUGUGGC